CUGUGCUUUUCAAUUUUUCCCAAACAACUCCUGGCCACAAAUAAGAUGUCAAACUUCUUCCUUUUCGGAGUAGAAAACAAAACUUGGGAAGAGAAAGAGUAAAGCAAACAACUCCACCUAAACUCCAUUCUUCUGGCCACACAAUGUACCGAAAACUAACAGUUGGACAACGCUUUUGUGGUUUUGGCAAUGUGUGCCUGUUCAAUUAGCACGUGCAGGAGCAGGACUCUCUGCGUCGCUCAACGCCUUCCUGGAUCGUUGCCAUGCUGUCAAAAUCAUCUGCCGAACACGUUCGUUACACAAAACAACGGCAUUCCCUUCGAGCCAGUUUUCGGGCCAUGUCACCUGUGGUGACGGUUGUGAAGAAGCCGAGAUUACCGCAAACGAUCAGCUCUUCCCGCUACUCGCCGCGAUAGUGGAGCAUGUAACAGCAUCGGUGGUCGUAAUCAUCGCGGCAGUGCGUAAAUAAACAAUCCCCAGGUCCCCAGCGCCGUGGCCAGCUUGGAUGGUUUGAUCCCCCGAGAGAUGUGCCUGCAAUAGACUCCAGACUUUGUGACCACCGGGUGGCUUCUUUCGAUAGUGUUACUGAAGCCGAAACCAUUACCCUACACAACCCGGAUGGUCCUCACCCAACCCGCCAGUGUCUUAAUGAGCACAUUUUUCGUCCAAUUUGCUUUUGCAAAACCGGUACAAACGGACGUUUCGUUGUCAUGGGAUCUCAAAAACGCGCCCAAAUUGCGCAAUCUAAUCACCUUGGAAUGGAAUGGUGUUCGAAAAUGUAGUUCACAUGUGGGCCUGGUCAGUUUGGGGAUCUUUUGCCGCAGGGCGGAUGACCCAUUACCGUCGGUUAAGUGAUCCUCUCCAACCCAUCCGUCGUCACUGAAAAGCGGGAUCCUUUAAGUCCCGCUCACGUAAGGCCGUUUGUGUGGUGUUUCGGAUGAUCCAAAUGACGGUCUAGGAGUGAUGAGAACAAGUGGCAAUGGUAAGCAAAAGUAACCACAGCUCCCCUCCAAUGCCGGGCCUGCACAUGAAUGGGGCGAACGAUAGAAAGGAAGAUUGUCUCGGAAGGUUUACGCACCGUACGGAAUGAAGGGCAACGACAGACCCUGAGCCAACUGAGCAAUUUGCAUCAGUUUGAUGCCCACCGUGGCUAGCUGUGACGAACCUGCGUUCAUUAGACACUUGUUUCAUGCUUAUCGUGCCAUGUCAUCGUGACUUCUCGCGUUGCGUGUAGUACGCCAUGUGCUCAGCCUGAAGUGUUCCAUCGCACGUGUCGCCCACGCCCGCUCAAUUGAUUA